AUGGCACAAGUUGAGUCUGAGAUCAAAGAGAGCUCUACUAAUGAGUCCGAAGCUCUCAUAGCUACACUUCCCACAAGGGAAGGAUGGUCCACGCCCCUCACCCUCUACAACAAGUGCUGGCUGAGAUCACACAUGCUCAGAAGAUUCAUGCUGGUGAGAGACAACUUCAAGCCCCGGCGCGACGACAUCAUCCUCGCCACCCACCCCAAGAGCGGCACCACCUGGCUCAAGGCCCUCGCCUUCACCAUCUCCACCCGCUCCCGUUGCGACUUCACCGACAGCCCUCUGCUCACAAACAACCCACAGCGGGUCGUGCCCUUCAUUGGAGCCAUGGGUGGAGACCUCGACUUCCUUGAGACGCUCCCUUCGCCGAGGCUGCUGGCCACCCACCUGCCUCCCUCGCUGCUCCCGCCGGCCAUCUCCACCGUCGGCUGCAGGGUCGUGUACCUCUGCCGCGAGCCCAAAGACGCCUUCGUGUCAAGGUGGCACUUCGACAACAAGAUGAGCAAAGGGGCUCCUAUCACCCUCGACGAUGCAUUCAGCAUGUUCUGCGAAGGGUUCUCCCCGUUCGGGCCCUUCUGGGACCAUUAUCUCCAGUACUGGAAAGAAAGCUUGGCGAGGCCGCAAGAGGUGAUGUUUCUCAAGUAUGAAGAGAUUGUGUCAGAUCCGCUCACGGUUGUUAAGAAGCUUGCAAGCUUCCUCGAUGUGCCCUUCACCGAAGAGGAGGAGAAGAGUGGGGUCGUCGAUCAGGUUGUGAGCUUCUGCAGCUUCGAAUCACUUCGCAACCUAGACGUCAACAAAACAGGCGGUGCUGAGCGUGCAGGAGGUAAGAUUUUCAUCCAGCACUCCUCACUGUUUAGGAAAGGGAAGGUUGGGGACUGGGUGAACCAUAUGAGCAAAGAAAUGGGAGAAAAAAUGGAUCGCCUCGUGGAGGAGAAGUUCAGAGGAUCUGGUCUAGAGUUCUGA
rnacentral:rRNA from 1 species